GACGAACGCUGGCGGCGUGCUUAACACAUGCAAGUCGAACGGAAAGGCCCUGCUUUUGUGGGGUGCUCGAUUGGCGAACGGGUGAGUAACACGUGAGUAACCUGCCCUUGACUUUGGGAUAACUUCAGGAAACUGGGGCUAAUACCGGAUAGGAGCUCCUGCUGCAUGGUGGGGGUUGGAAAGUUUCGGCGGUUGGGGAUGGACUCGCGGCUUAUCAGCUUGUUGGUGGGGUAGUGGCUUACCAAGGCUUUGACGGGUAGCCGGCCUGAGAGGGUGACCGGCCACAUUGGGACUGAGAUGCGGCCCAGACUCCUACGGGAGGCAGCAGUGGGGAAUAUUGCACAAUGGGCGGAAGCCUGAUGCAGCAACGCCGCGUGCGGGAUGACGGCUUUCGGGUUGUAAACCGCUUUCGCCUGUGCCGAAGCGUGAGUGACGGUAAUGGGUAAAGAAGCACCGGCUAACUACGUG
rnacentral:rRNA from 1 species